rnacentral:rRNA from 1 species
CCUACGGGUGGCAGCAGUGAGGAAUAUUGGUCAAUGGACGAGAGUCUGAACCAGCCAAGUAGCGUGAAGGAUGACUGCCCUAUGGGUUGUAAACUUCUUUUAUAUGGGAAUAAAACGUUCCACGUGUGGGAUUUUGUAUGUACCAUAUGAAUAAGGAUCGGCUAACUCCGUGCCAGCAGCCGCGGUAACACGGAGGAUCCGAGCGUUAUCCGGAUUUAUUGGGUUUAAAGGGAGCGUAGGUGGAUUGUUAAGUCAGUUGUGAAAGUUUGCGGCUCAACCGUAAAAUUGCAGUUGAAACUGGCAGUCUUGAGUACAGUAGAGGUGGGCGGAAUUCGUGGUGUAGCGGUGAAAUGCUUAGAUAUCACGAAGAACUCCGAUUGCGAAGGCAGUUCACUGGACUGCAACUGACACUGAGGCUCGAAAGUGUGGGUAUCAAACAGGAUUAGAUACCCCUGUAGUC